AGUAACACGUGAGUAACCUGCCCUUGACUCUGGGAUAAGCGUUGGAAACGACGUCUAAUACCGGAUAUGACGACCGAUGGCAUCAUCUGGUUGUGGAAAGAAUUUCGGUCAAGGAUGGACUCGCGGCCUAUCAGCUAGUUGGUGAGGUAAUGGCCCACCAAGGCGACGACGGGUAGCCGGCCUGAGAGGGUGACCGGCCACACUGGGACUGAGACACGGCCCAGACUCCUACGGGAGGCAGCAGUGGGGAAUAUUGCACAAUGGGCGCAAGCCUGAUGCAGCAACGCCGCGUGAGGGAUGACGGCCUUCGGGUUGUAAACCUCUUUUAGUAGGGAAGAAGCGAAAGUGACGGUACCUGCAGAAAAAGCACCGGCUAACUACGUGCCAGCAGCCGCGGUAAUACGUAGGGUGCAAGCGUUGUCCGGAAUUAUUGGGCGUAAAGAGCUCGUAGGCGGUUUGUCGCGUCUGCUGUGAAAACUGGAGGCUCAACCUCCAGCCUGCAGUGGGUACGGGCAGACUAGAGUGCGGUAGGGGAGAUUGGAAUUCCUGGUGUAGCGGUGGAAUGCGCAGAUAUCAGGAGGAACACCGAUGGCGAAGGCAGAUCUCUGGGCCGUAACUGACGCUGAGGAGCGAAAGCGUGGGGAGCGAACAGGAUUAGAUACCCUGGUAGUCCACGCCGUAAACGUUGGGAACUAGAUGUGGGGACCAUUCCACGGUCUCCGUGUCGCAGCUAACGCAUUAAGUUCCCCGCCUGGGGAGUACGGCCGCAAGGCUAAAACUCAAAGGAAUUGACGGGGGCC
rnacentral:rRNA from 1 species